UGGGGUAUAGCCAAGCGGUAAGGCACCGGUUUUUGGUAUCGGCAUCCCAGGUUCGAAUCCUGGUACCCCAGCCA
rnacentral:tRNA from 1 species